AAUCCAUGUAAGUGUUACUGGACCCAACACCCAAACAUAAUUUACCUACCCAGACUCGGCCCAUUCCAGCUGCAUUACUUUUCUUCUCUAUUUGGUUAUUCACAGCCUAAAACCUCCGCCGAAGGUUUAAUUUAUCCGCCGAAAGUUCACCGAAUCAUUCUUUUCUAGCACUCUGAAUUCUUCUUGUACUUGUGACAAUGGGUGGAGUGCCCCUGCAAGAUGCUUCCUCCAUCUUAGCUUUGUCGGGGUCUCAGCCAAAACAAGGUUUGGCUGUUGUAAAAUCUGACCAAGAGUCAAAGCCAAAGAAGAAGAUCUGCUGUGCCUGCCCUGAGACUAAGAAGCUUAGAGAUGAAUGCAUCGUGGAGCAUGGUGAAGAGGCUUGUGCAAAAUGGAUAGAAGCUCAUCGAAUGUGCCUUCGUGCUGAGGGCUUUAAUGUUUGAGAUUGAUAGAGGUAGUUUUUACAAGUCAAACCGGAUGGGUAUACUGACAUUACAAUUUACAAUUGCAGAUAGCAGAUUAUUUGCUAAAGAAAUAAAGCAACAAAAUUGUUAUUGACUUUUGAAUGCAAUACUUCAUAUGAUUUUAAAGUGAAAAUGGAUGAGAUACAUUCUUAUUGUAUUCAUGUUCAUCUUUUACGUUAUUGGUUUUCCUUUUAACUUUGUUGUUCUGUAAUCAUAGGCUGUGCAGGAUGUAUUUUUUGCAUAUCGUCCACCAUUCUUGUGUGAUUUUCUUUUAUGCUCCAAGUUAUCAGGGGAAGUGAAUGAUUUUUAUGCAUCCAGAUACAUUCAUCAAACACCGACUGUAUCAUUCACCAUUUACCUCCUUUCGACCUGAAAAUCUAAUAUUUCUUUAGACCUUUUGGGGUAGAUAAGAGAUAACAAGCCUUUUCUUAUAAUGAUAUUUUGUAGAUUGCUUUGAUUUAAAUAUGGUCAGUAUCAAGACUAGCAGGUGAGUGUUUGAUAAAUAUUUCUUGUAGUGAUCUAACCAUUUUGUUAAGUUGUUCAUAUCUUAAUAUUCUAGUUAUGAAGUAAAUAGUUAAAAGAGGCAAGUGAGAGCAGAGUAUACUUACUAAUAGCAUCAAUACAUUAACAGCCACACAAGGCCAAAGCCAAAAGCCACAGCCAUUACACGAUUACAGAAGGAAAUACAAGUAUAUCACUGACACACAACACACUCCACUUCACGCACACAAAGUAUUAUUUUUACAAAGGAUAAGUUCAUUACAACAUUAUUCCAACGAUUUCAGUCCCUUGAAAUUAUUGUUAUAGUAUUAGUUUAAUGACCACCACAAGUACAGUUCACGCAGGAGCAGCUGGUGCCACACUUGCACUUGCCGUGGUUCUCAGAAGUGGCAGGAACGUCGACCAUGACAAAAGUGGUUAUCCAGCUGCAAGAACAAAAACCAGAUUGUAUCAGUACAUGGCCAAAACCAAACAACAAAGAGAGAAAGAAAUAUUAUACUGUGCAUUGUCUUUGAUCUUCAGAAAGUACCUCUCAGUCUCAAUGAAGUCAGCAACAUAGCCGCUUCCCUUCUUCCUGCAAAUCCGAAAAAACUGAUAGUGUAAGUAAUAUAACCAUAGCAUAAUAACAAAAUCUUUAAGAUACGGAGAUACGAAUCACUUACACACACUUGCUCUUGUCAGCGCAGUCGCAGUUGCCGCAGUCCGACAUGUUGAGCUUGGAAAAAUUGAAACUUUGAAGUGUUUUUGAGAAAGCUGAUGGAUUUGUCUGAAUGGCUAUAUCUUGCAGCGUGGCCUGUAUUUAAAGAGGGGGAAAGAGGUGGUGCAAAUGGGUGAUAAAUGAAGAUGAAGGUGGCGUCAACUUCAGCUUGGGCAGCGGGCCCAGAUGGGCAUGCCGCAUGGGAGAAGCACACGCCUCUCGAGGAAGAGGCCGAAGGGAAUCUUGAUAAUGGAAGAGGUUGGCUUCCUUUCCUCCUCUCAUGUCAACUUCUCUCUUUCAUUUUCUUCCCCGUUUUUCCAAAGCUUCAAAACUCAUUAGCCUCUCUUUUUUAUGACAGUGACCACAAAAUUUUCAGACGCCAGACAUGGAAUUCAAGGAUGAUAGGACCAGGUGCAGAACAAAAAGAAGUUUUCGAAUUUGUAAGCAUUGCUUCUUCAACUGGGCAACGUUGUUGUCAAAAAAAGUAUAGCCUUACAUGCAUGUUUUCAAUCUUUUUAUCCUAAAGAUUUCAGAGAAAAAAGAAAUGUAAAUAUAUAAUAAUAGUGACAAUAAUGGUUGUCACCUCCUGCUUUCCUCCCAGUUUGUGUCCCUUGCAUGUCUAUAUCAAUGUUUUGUUUGGUUGCCGAGAAAAAUCUGAGUUGCAAUAUUUGACUUGUUCCAUUGAAUGAUUACUGGUUCUGGGAAAUUUAUAGUCUUUCUAAUAAAUCAACAAUUAUCGAAUAUAUAUUUAUGUAUUAUGAUUUUUAGAGACUGGUAGAAUCUUCUGUACAUAUCUUUUGGCAAAAAAAUUCUUAAAGAUUGUGUAAUAAAACUAUAAAAUUUCCAUC